GUCAGUAUACAUAUCAGACUAUAAUCAUUAUGCAACAGGGUCUUCAGGAUGCUAUAGAACUAAAAGAUUUUAUCUUUUUUUUUUUUUUAAAGUCGACUUUGAUAUGAAUGCCCUGUUUCCUGACCCCACUUUGACCUUUUUAUCAGAGUUAGAAUAAUUUUACUGGAGAUCUUUGUGGUACUAGAAUAGUAAUUACACUUUUGACUCUUAAGAUACUGAAUGAAAAGCUUACAGCUCCUACUACAUACACAAAAUUACUAGUAGAAAGAUCAUAUUCCCAAAAUAGGAGUCCUUAUGAAUUUCAGAUCUGAAUUAAAAGAGGAUAUCCAAUCCAACUUUUUUUUCUUGUUGGACAACCUACUCUUAGAUGAACAAAGCUACAUAAUCCUGAAGUUGAACAAUGCACCUUCUCAUGUUAUAUAAUGUUGCAAAAUAUAUAUGUAGAUAGUUUGACAAAGCUGGAGUAGGCUGUCACUGGGAAUGAGGUGGUGACAUGCUACUCAUCACAAGACACUUGUAACAAAGUCUUGAUAGUAACCCUCAUAUCAAAUUGUUUUUCUGCAUAAUCUUCCUGUUAACAAUCGGAUCCAUGUCAAUUUUUUAAGAAUGGUUCUCUUGCAUAAACUAGGAUACAUUCUGUUCAAAAUUCCUCUGGAACAGACUAAUCCAACUCCUUUGAAAGAGCUCAAGGUUGAUUAUGAACAUGCAAAGCAUCUUGGGGCUCGAUGACAAUAGUGUACCAGUACCAGGAGAGAAGGGUGAGAAGAGCCUUCACAAGGAGUUUGCUCCUCCGUCUGCUGUCUAUUUACCUCUGAGUCUUUAGAGAAAAGGUCCAAAAAGGGACAAGGGUCAGCUUUAUCAUCAUCAUUUAAGGAUGUGCAAAGGCAAAGUUCAUCUGCAGCACUUGCUGUAUUCACUUGUGACAGAUGGGCAAGUCCAGCUUCGCUUUCAAGACACUGAUGGAGCCUAUUCAAGGAUUUCUUUUAGUGCAUCAAAAGUGCUCAGGAGGUAUCUUUGUUUACAGGAAUGAGAAUCUAUCCCUUGGAUUAUACCAAAUGAUCUAGUCAUUCAAUAGCAAGCUUCUAAAACAAAUGAAGAGGACAAAUGCAAGUUAACCAUUCUGUGUUGGUUUGAUUCACUGUGCAUAUACUGCCAGAAACUGAAGGCAGAGGGAUCACAACAGGAUAUAUAGAGAGAGAAAGAGAUUUCACAACAGGAAGGAGAGGACAAGUAGGUGGUUUAUGAGGGUAGGCAAUACCAAGACAAGACGCAUGUGCAUCUAUCUCCCAUGCUCUUCCAGAUGACAUCUCAACUGAGAGAGAGAAUGAGAGAGUGGCAGGAGACAUCAAGAGUUGAUCAGCAACCUCACAUUAAUAUCAGACAUCUCUUUUUGUGAUAUGGAUGGUACCAUGCACUAAUUACUCCCCACCUGUUUGGUUGUUGGUGUACUACAUGAUAACUGAUCCAUGUGGGAGCAAUACCAGACUGCUUCAGCUAGCAGAAAUGACAUGGCCUGGGAAGAAAAAAACCAGCUCUAAGAUGCACAUCCAAGGAAGCUAAGUCAACAUGUUGGGCCAUCCCACCACAUGGUGUCUGUGUGUAGGUUUUCCUGCAUCACAUGUGACUUCCCCUUGUUUUAAGCUGGAGAAGUUGAAGCUUGAGUGGUGUUUUCAGCUCUAGUUCUUUGGACAGUGCAAGAACUCUACCAGUGCUGUAGUGGAGUCAAGGCUGCAGUAACCCCUCCUACUUGGCUGGGAUGUCUGUCAAUGUACCUAGACAAUCUCAGAUGGUUUUAUGUUUAGAAUAUCAAGAACUCAAAAUUUUCAGAAAAUA